rnacentral:rRNA from 1 species
AACGAACGCUGGCGGCGUGCUUAACACAUGCAAGUCGAGCGGGAAAGUUUCCUUCGGGAAGCGAGUACAGCGGCAGACGGGUGAGUACAACGUAGGUAACCUACCCUCGAGACCGGGAUAACCUGUCGAAAGACGGGCUAAUACCGGAUAAGACCACAAGGGCUGCGGCCUUUGAGGUAAAAGAUGGCCUCUGCUUGCAAGCUAUCACUUGGGGGAUGGGCCUGCGCGCCAUUAGCAGUUGGUGAGGUAACGGCUCACCAAGGCAAAGAUGGCUAGCUGGUCUGAGAGGAUGGCCAGCCACACU